UACGUAGGGGCCGAGCGUUGUCCGGAGUUACUGGGCGUAAAGCGCGCGCAGGCGGCUCGUCAAGCCUGACGUGAAAGCCCCGGGCUCAACCUGGGAAUGGCAAUGGAUACUGGCAAGCUAGAGUGCGGUAGAGGGUAGUGGAAUUCCCGGUGUAGCGGUGAAAUGCGUAGAGAUCGGGAGGAACACCAGUGGCGAAGGCGGCUACCUGGACCAGCACUGACACUGAGGCACGAAAGCGUGGGGAGCAAACAGG
rnacentral:rRNA from 1 species